UGGGCAUGCACAGGUGUGUCGUGAUAUGA
rnacentral:piRNA from 1 species